rnacentral:rRNA from 1 species
AUUGAACGCUGGCGGCAUGCUUUACACAUGCAAGUCGAACGGUAACAGGCCGCAAGGUGCUGACGAGUGGCGAACGGGUGAGUAAUGCAUCGGAACGUGCCCAGUCGUGGGGGAUAACGCAGCGAAAGCUGUGCUAAUACCGCAUACGAUCUGUGGAUGAAAGCGGGGGACCGAAAGGCCUCGCGCGAUUGGAGCGGCCGAUGUCAGAUUAGGUAGUUGGUGGGGUAAAGGCUCACCAAGCCAACGAUCUGUAGCUGGUCUGAGAGGACGACCGGCCACACUGGGACUGAGACACGGCCCAGACUCCUACGGGAGGCAGCAGUGGGGAAUUUUGGACAAUGGGCGCAAGCCUGAUCCAGCAAUGCCGCGUGCAGGAAGAAGGCCGUCGGGUUGUAAACUGCUUUUGUACGGAACGAAACGGCUCUGGUUAAUACCUGGGGCUAAUGACGGUACCGUAAGAAUAAGCACCGGCUAACUACGUGCCAGCCGCCGCGGUAAGAC